AAGGCAGAAGGCGUUAAGAAGGAGCCGACCGCCAGCUCUGCAGCGUCCAGCAGCCCCGGAGCGAGCAGCCGCAGCCAGCGACCAACAUCUGGCAGCCUGACCUGAGACCAGCACCGUACCACUGACUGUAUCACAGAUUCCAUAGGGAGAAAUAUACGACAUCUAUUUUGUUUUAA